UCAGAGGAUUACAGCUAAAUAACAAAUGUUUGACAUCUUUGUAGUACAAAAAAAUUAUAAAUAAAACUAGUUUUUGACAAGUUAAGGCAUGACCCGAUAGAAAGAAAUAAUGCAAAUGACUUACUUGCUUUUGUCUUUAAAUUCGUAAGAAGUUAAAAGUAUCCAAGCAUCAUUUAUAAAAAAAAAAUAAUAUGUUGUUCUUGUAAAUUUACCUAUUCGUCAAGAGAUGGCGCCAGGUGAUAAAAGUUCCAAAUUUAUAAGUAAUCGAUUUUAUUUUUUGACCCAAUAAACUGAAGACCAAAUUACCAUGGAAAUUUUAUUCUACAAUGAGAUUAUUAUGGUACGUAUAGUGUGUUUGAUUCCAAUGAACGCGUAAGCAUGGCCAUUAUUUAAAAUGAAAACACGGUUUAUGCAACUAUCUUGCCAGAAAGGGCUAACAUAAUUUUCUCGUGUAACGUGAUCUAUAAUACCUACAGGACCGACCAUUUGAAGGGCCGCAGUUAACACUCGAACAUCUACAUACACAUAUUAUUAUAUACUACAUAAACAUGAAAAUACGUAGAAACUUACAUAUGCAUGUAUUAUCUAAUGAAGUGGCCGAUAUGAUCAUAUUGUGACAUAUUAUUGUAUAUUUAUGAAUAAGUUGUUGGUAUUUGUAUAAAUUAAAAAUUAUAAAAAAACAGUGUCUGUACGUUUAUAUUAAAAUAUGACGCACAUUAUUGUGGUAUUGACUCACAAAUAAAAAUACUUUUAAUGGCAAUAUGCCGUUCGCAACCAGUGCUGUGACCACUGCUAACCCCUCAAAUUAUAAAUGUAAAAAAAAAAUAGUCAAAAUAAACCGCAUUUUGAAUAGUACUUAUAUUUUUCUGUAUAUUUAGAAAACUAUUAGCUAUCUACUAAUAUAUAUUUAAAUUUAACUAAACUUUUGUUGUUUUGUAAAUUAAUCUUUUGUAACUAAUAUUAAGGGCUAGAAUGGAUUCAAUUUGGAAUUAUUAAGGAAGUAUAAAUUUCUCGAUAUAUUUUCAUAGUUUUGAUAGUAUGUUGUAAUCGACGUAUUUGCCUUUGCAAUAAUUAUAAUUGUAUAUUAAAAUUGUCAUUAGUGAUUAGGACAAAUAAAAUUUUUGUAAAAUA